UGGAUUUACAAGGCCACACACGGAACAACACGUACUUGGUAUGUCAUUCUUAUGUCACAUUGCUAUGUUUGUUAUUUUGCUGUAGUUCUUGACAUUUAUAUAGUUUUUUUUAAAUGCAAUCAGCAUUCUUUCCCUACUUCAGGCAAUUUGAGCCUGUCUAUCUAACUAUCCUCUUACAACUUUGUUCCAGUACUUUAUGCAGGCCUGCUCCGCCACAUGCUGAAGUUGCCAGCUUCACAGAAUUGCAACCUCUUGAUUCAUCGUACAGGCCAGUAUCCACAUGUGUGACUGGAGCUACAAGGUUGCACGCAGACCCACAAGUGCUCGCCUUCAUGGAAAGGAUCUUACACAUACU
rnacentral:lncRNA from 1 species